rnacentral:rRNA from 1 species
CCUACGGGUGGCAGCAGUCGAGAAUCAUUCACAAUGGGGGAAACCCUGAUGGUGCGACGCCGCGUGGGGGAAUGAAGGUCUUCGGAUUGUAAACCCCUGUCAUGUGGGAGCAAAUUAAAAAGAUAGUACCACAAGAGGAAGAGACGGCUAACUCUGUGCCAGCAGCCGCGGUAAUACAGAGGUCUCAAGCGUUGUUCGGAAUCACUGGGCGUAAAGCGUGCGUAGGCUGUUUCGUAAGUCGUGUGUGAAAGGCGCGGGCUCAACCCGCGGACGGCCCAUGAUACUGCGAGACUAGAGUAAGGGAGGGGGAACCGGAAUUCUCGGUGUAGCAGUGAAAUGCGUAGAUAUCGAGAGGAACACUCGUGGCGAAGGCGGGUUCCUGGACAUUAACUGACGCUGAGGCACGAAGGCCAGGGGAGCGAAAGGGAUUAGAUACCCUGGUAGUC